rnacentral:rRNA from 1 species
CCCUUAGAUGUUCUGGGCUGCACGCGUGCUACAAUGGCGCUUGCAACAAGUCUUGCCAACCCGAUAGGGUGAGCGGAUCUUUGAAGAGGCGUCGUGAUCGGGACAGUUGAUUGCAAUUAUUCGACUCGAACGAGGAAUUCCUUGUAAUCGCGAUUCAUCAUAUCGCGCUGAAUACGUCCCUGCCCUUUGUACACACCGCCCGUCGCUCCUACCGAUUGAGCGAUCCGGUGAAUGUUUUGGACUGGCGUCAGAAGCGGUUCGCUCCUGACACUACGAAAUUUUGUAAACCGUAUCGCUUAGAGGAAGGAAAAGUCGUAACA